CGCUGUUUGUGAACUCUAGGAGUUUGUGGUCUUGUUGGGGUGACAAGCACAUGAAGAGAAGUGCAAUCCAAUGUGUUAUGUACUGUGACGGACACUGGAGAGGGCACAGGGAUGCACAGAAACGAGGCAAGAAGGAAGGCUUUCCAGAGACAGUGGCUUGGGCUGUGAGUUCUGACAGGUGCCCGGUGAAGAAGUUCACGAGGAGCAUUUUAGCAGGUCAUUUAUUGGCAAGUGACUCUUGUCAUCACGUCAUGAUUGAGGCAGUAGGCUAUUUGUACAGAUCACUUGAUUUAAGGGUGAUCCACCUGGGAUCUUCUCAUUCAUCAAUCCAUGGAAUCCUGCACCUUCUGAGAGAAAUUGAGUGGAUCCGGAGCCGGAGAUGUUGGCCUCAAGGUAUGAGCCAGCAACAUUCUGAGGGUUCUAGGAAUGGCUUCUCAUUAUGGAAGCACUUGGUUAAAUUAAACUACCACAGUGCUCAGAGUUCUAAUACAGUGAGCUCUGCAAUGUGCAUGAAUGCAGAUAAAUUACACAGGGCUAGAAGAAUGGACUUGGCACCUCAGACAAUUUCAGAUAAAUCAAAAUGUGCUCCUGGAAAAGGGAAAAAGAAACCCAUUAUUUGCAUAUCUGCCGAGGAAAAGAUACAACGGAAGACACAAAAUAAUGCUGAAAUAUGGAAUGGCUCAGGAAAGGAAGCCUCAAAGAAAAAGACAGACUAUUCCUCUAACAUUUUAUCUUUGGGUAAAAUGAAUGGUUUAAUAAAGCUUUCAAGGCAAAGAAUUUUGUUAGCUAAAAGCGAGAGUGGAGAAGGCGAAAUCACCACCAUUUACCACCAUCCCCUGCCAUGGCCUGUUAGCACAAAAAACCCUGGGGAAUCUGAGUUCAUAUCAGAAAAGUGGCUUUUUCAUAGCCCAGAUUAUAUUUCAAUAUCUCAGAAGUCUUUUUUGCAGAGAAGACUUCACAUUGAAACAAAACUGUUGAAG
rnacentral:lncRNA from 1 species